ensembl:snRNA U6 U6 spliceosomal RNA
UUGCUUCAGUAGCACAUAUGCUAAAAUUGGAACAAUACAGAGAAGAUUAGAAUGACCCUUGUGCAAAGAUGACAUGCAAAUUUGCAAAGCAUUCCAUAUUUUU